UACGUAGGGGGCUAGCGUUGUCCGGAAUUACUGGGCGUAAAGGGUGCGUAGGCGGAAUUGCAAGUCAGAUGUGAAAUACCCGGGCUUAACCCGGGGGGUGCAUUUGAAACUGCAGUCCUUGAGUGCAGGAGAGGCAAGUGGAAUUCCUAGUGUAGCGGUGAAAUGCGUAGAUAUUAGGAGGAACACCAGUGGCGAAGGCGACUUGCUGGACUGUAACUGACGCUGAGGCACGAAAGCGUGGGGAGCAAACAGG
rnacentral:rRNA from 1 species